ACGUAGGGCGCGAGCGUUGUCCGGAAUUAUUGGGCGUAAAGAGCUUGUAGGCGGUUUGUCGCGUCUGCUGUGAAAGGCCGGGGCUUAACUCCGUGUAUUGCAGUGGGUACGGGCAGACUAGAGUGCAGUAGGGGAGACUGGAACUCCUGGUGUAGCGGUGGAAUGCGCAGAUAUCAGGAAGAACACCGAUGGCGAAGGCAGGUCUCUGGGCUGUAACUGACGCUGAGAAGCGAAAGCAUGGGGAGCGAACAG
rnacentral:rRNA from 1 species